rnacentral:lncRNA from 10 species
GAGCGAUCGCGGUGGGCUUGGGCUGGUGACGCGUGCGCCGGCCGGCCGCCGAGGGGCUACCGUUCUGCCUCCGACCGGUCGUGUGUGGGUUUACUCGGAGACAGGGUCUCACUCUGUCACCCAGGGUGGAGUGCAGUGGUGCAAUUAUGGCUCACUGUAGUCUUGAUCUCCUGGGCUCAAGCAGUCCUCCCAACUCAGCUCCCAAGUAGCUAGAACUACAGAAAUACUAGGCUUUAGAAUUUCACCAUAUGAAUUUUGGGAGAGAGGAGCACAGUUCAGCCCAUAACUAACACACGACGGAAUGAAGUUGAUAAUAGUGAGACCUUGUUGGUACAAGACUAUGUAACAUAACCUGCGCUUCUCAACAAAGAAUUGCUUUUCUGACUUCUGCACUCAAUAGCAAGACAAAUCUCUCCUCUGCCUUCUCCUUAUCAGACUACUCAACAUGAAGGCAAUAAGAAUGAAGACCUCUAUGUAUAAUAAUUGACUUCCACUUAAUAAAUAAGGUUACUUGGUACACUGGUCGACAAAACCUUGAAAUGUUGAUGUUUAAGGGCUGUUGAUUGCUGGCAGCAAAGAAGUCCAACUGUGCUGGUACCCGAGAUAGCGUCUCCACAUUUUCUUCCAGGAUCAUCACCUUUGUUCUAAAUAGCUCCCACAUAGUGUGAACAGAAGUCAUAUGUUUUAGAUUUU